rnacentral:tRNA from 1 species
GGUUAUGGCUCAGUGAUAGAGCACGUGUCUGGCAUGUGUGAGGCCCUGGGUUCAAAUCUCAGCACCA